UACGUAGGGUGCAAGCGUUGUCCGGAAUUAUUGGGCGUAAAGAGCUUGUAGGCGGUUUGUCGCGUCUGCUGUGAAAUUUCGGGGCUCAACCCCGAACUUGCAGUGGGUACGGGCAGACUAGAGUGUGGUAGGGGAGACUGGAAUUCCUGGUGUAGCGGUGAAAUGCGCAGAUAUCAGGAGGAAGACCAGUGGCGAAGGCGGGUCUCUGGACAGUUCCUGACACUGAGACACGAAGGCCAGGGGAGCAAACGGG
rnacentral:rRNA from 1 species